ensembl:miRNA gga-mir-1750 gga-mir-1750
GAGACUGGAGUGAUGAGGACCAAGUGCAUCACUGCAUGCCUCCAGGAGCAGUGAUCAAGUGGUGCUCUGUGCCUCUCCAGUACUC